GCCAGGCGUGGUGGCGGGUGCCUGUAGUCCCAGCUACUUGGGAGGUUGAGGCAGGAGAAUGGGGUGAACCCGGGAGGCAGAGUUUGCAGUGAGCCAAGAUCGUGCCACUGCACUUCAGCCUGGGCAACAGAGCAAGACUUCGUCUCAAAAAAAAAAAAAAGAAAAGUCAAAAAAAAUACUAACUUUUUUUUUUUUUUGAGAUGGAGUCUCGGUCUGUUGCCCAGGCUGGAGUGCGGUGGCGCGAUCUCAGCUCACUGCAAGCUCCACCUCCCGGGUUCACACCAUCCUCCUGCCUCAG
rnacentral:SRP_RNA from 1 species